rnacentral:rRNA from 1 species
GUUAGGAAUAUUGGACAAUGGGCGCAAGCCUGAUCCAGCCAUGCCGCGUGAGUGAUGAAGGCCUUCGGGUUGUAAAGCUCUUUAGCCGAUGAUUAUAAUGACUGUAGUCGGAAAAUAAGCCCCGGCUAACUUCGUGCCAGCAGCCGCGGUAAUACGAAGGGGGCGAGCGUUAUUCGGAAUCACUGGGCGUAAAGCGUGCGUAGGCGGCUUUGCAAGUUGGGAGUGAAAGCCCAGGGCUCAACCCUGGAAUUGCUCUCAAAACUGCAAGGCUCGAAUUCGGGAGAGGAUAGCGGAAUUGUCAGUGUAGCAGUGAAAUGCGUAGAUAUUGACAGGAACACCAGUGGCGUAAGCGGCUAUCUGGACCGAUAUUGACGCUGAGGCACGAAAGCGUGGGGAUCAAACAGGAUUAGAUACCCCAGUAGUCC